GAGAAAUUUUGGCUUAGCGAAAUUGAAACAAAAAGACUGAAGACAAGAAAAUAGGCCUGUAACAUGUUCCAGAGAAUUUCCAAACAAGAAUGAAAUAUUUCCUGGUGUAAAUGCCCUCAGUGGACUGAAAAACGUCUUUGGAACCCAAGACAACAGAUCACUAUCCAGAGCCUUGUGCUUCCUACUCCCAUCAGAACUCCGCCACAGUUGAGUGUACAUCUUCUACUUCACAAGAAAAGCAACUGCAGAACAGCCCCAGGCAGGUCCUUCAGGAAAUUUUCCAGAAGAAGGCAUUGUUA
rnacentral:lncRNA from 13 species